CAAUAGCGUAUAUUUAAGUUGCUGCAGUUAAAAAGCUCGUAGUUGGAUUUCGGGUGGGAAUGGCCGGUCCGCCGUUUCGGUGUGCACUUGCUACGCCCACCUUGCUGCCGGGGACGUGCUCUUGAGUUCACGCUCGGGACACGGAGUCGGCGAGGUUACUUUGAGUAAAUUAGAGUGUUCAAAGCAGGCCUACGCUCUGAAUACAUUAGCAUGGAAUAACACGAUAGGACUCUGGCCUAUCUUGUUGGUCUGUAGGACCGGAGUAAUGAUUAAGAGGGACAGUCGGGGGCAUUCGUAUUUCAUUGUCAGAGGUGAAAUUCUUGGAUUUAUGAAAGACGAACCACUGCGAAAGCAUUUGCCAAGGAUGUUUUCAAUAA
rnacentral:rRNA from 1 species